rnacentral:lncRNA from 1 species
UAUCUAACAGGCCUGGCUACAUGGGAGGAUGUGGGUCCAGUACUGGUACCAGACACUAUCUAACAGGCCUGACUACAUGGGUCCAGUACUGGGUCCAGAUUCUAGGCAGUGGAGAUGUAAUGUUGGUGGUCCUAUUGCCUCCAGGCUCUCGCUGUUGUCCCCUGCUGGCUGGUCAGCCGUCCCCUCAGCCUGCACAGCUUCUCCUGGCCUCCCCUUCAAUGCCGAGGGUGUUGAGUGUACUGUACGCCAUGCCAUUGACUGUUCUGUUCACCUGACUGUCAUACCAGUCUACUGGCUGUUAGCUCUCACCUAUCCUAUGUUAGCCUAUGGUCGAGUUCCUUCUACUCCUCUCUGGUCCGUCCAUGUGCUCUGUUUGUCUGGCUGUUCAAUGCACAUUCACUCAUCUCAUGUACUCCUCUUCAUCUGCUGCCUCCUCUUCUUUCUGACACCCUCCUCCUCUUUCUGACACCACCCUCCUUCUCUUCCAUCUGACACCCUCCUCUUUCUGACACCGUCCUCCUCCUCUUCCUGCCUGUCUCUCCUCUCCUCCAAACCCUUGGAUGUUAGGUGUUGUCAAUGGUUUUUCUUCUCAUUUCCAAGCAGCAAUAGCAGAAUGUCUAUACAUUCUGACCGGCUAAGAUUUAUAUAUAUAACUGGUAUCUUGAAGCAUAUUGUAUAUAUUAGUAGUCACCAUGGGGAUGACAACAUGACAAUGUAAACAAAAAGUAGAAAUAAUACGAUAAAGUGAGUCCUGUGUUCUCUCUCCAUUUGAGUAUUUUGUAAUUUUUUUGAAAAAUGUGUGGAAUUAAAAUAAACGACUAAGUUACACCACAAAACAUCUUAUUGGUUUUCAUUUAGACACUAUUUACAUUAUUCGAAACAGUAGCUGUUGGUAGUGCAUGCUGGGAAAUGUU